ensembl:lincRNA
ACCUAUCCACUUGGGUAAGAGUUUGAACUGAUAGCAACUUGUGAUUGCUUAUGGUUACCUUAAAUAGAGGACCACUUGUUCUCAAAAUGAAUUUGGGGGACAUCACCUUGUUAGAAACUCCAGUUCUCUCCGGGCGUGGUGGCGCACGCCUGUAAUCCCGGCACUCGGGAGGCUGAGGCAGGAGGAUCGUUGCGAGUUCGAGGCCAGCCUGGGCUCCAAAGUGAGCUCAAGGCCAGCCUGCACUGCAUAGCGAGACCCUGUCUCAAAAAGACAGGAAAAAAAAAAAAAGAACCUCCAGUUCUCAAGUACCUCCAGGAAUGCAGUGCAGUAGGCCCCAGCAAGCUUUUUUGACAAGCCUUCCAAAGGCUUCCAGGAGACUUUCAAGGUUGAACUACCACUGUAGAACAGCCUUGAUUUGUGUAUUUUUUUUAUAGUCACAAAGCCAUCCAGUUUCUAUGAAAUAAAUAUCUGAAAACUGACAGAUGUGAAUGAACACUGGCCAAAAUAUAUUUCAAAAUACAUGUCUAGAAGCAAAACUGAGACUGAAUAAUGCAGUGUUACGAUUAACAUAGGGGCCCUGUGGCCUGGUUGCAGACACAAGGUAUUGUCAAGUUUUAAUUUGUUUCUCCUGAAGGAGACAGGAAAGCUCUCCGAGGAGGUUUUGGAUGCGGUCCCAAGCUUUCCCACACAAAGAAAGAUGUAAACAAGGAUAACAUUCCAGUGCCACAUCGGUUUCCACACCAGCAAACAUCCGCUGUGGCUUAAUAUGAAAGGAUUAAGUAUAAUAAGGGUGGGAGACAUGGAGACUCGGGCUAGAUACAUCCAUGGAACGAGGGGCAAACCCAGUUGGCCUGAUAAAUGUUCAGCCACAAGACGGUAUCCGAAGAAUAUGGAACUGGCCGCGAGCCAGAAAAGCAGCUAGCAGCAGGCUGGCUGAACGGAGCAUGUGAGCGUUGUAAACCAACGGACAGCUGGAACAAAGCCUGGGGAAAUCCAAGAGCGACAAAAGUGGGGAAAUCGUGGCAAGCACCGAGAAAAUACGCUGCGUAUAGCAAGGCCCAGCCUCUGUGCUGGAGUUCUGGGAUUGAAGCAAGGCCUCCCCUGAGCCACAUUCCCAGCCCCCUGGAUGCACCAAGGUGCUGCCGAACCCUCACAGUCUCAGUCAGGAGCAGCCCACCGUGGUGUAUGAUGCCUUCUCCAAGAUAACCUGAGACGGGAAGCGACAAAGACAGAACAGAGACACAUCUUGCUUCCUGAAGCUGUAGGUUUUGGCAGCGACGCUGGCUACAUCCAGAUACCCAGGAAUACCCUGCUUUGCUCCCUCUCACUGUGAGGAGAAUGUAAUAUGCACUGUCAUUUUCUAGUGAGAUAAAAACUGAUCUUUAUCCACCACAACAGGAUGUCUUGGUCACUGUGAAUAAAAAUCUUUUGACAAGUACAGACUUUUCCUGUAGCACUGUCACAUCGCAUUAGAGUUAUUUGUUUACUUUCUGUCUUUCCCCGGAGACAGGGAGCUCUUUAAGGGAAGAAGCUCUUUGUCUUCUUUGAAUCCCUAUAGCUUAGUACACUCAUCCCUCGCUGUUGGAAUGUGCUUAUUGCCUGCUUUUUCACCUACAUGAGCAGUCUUCCUGUAUCUCUCCCUCUUCAGCUUUCACUGUCUCUUGAGCAGCUACCAACUAUCAGCCCCUCAACUGAAGCCCUUCACACGCAUUACCUUGUUUAAAUUCUCACACCAGCUCUGUGAAGUAAAUACUAUUCUUUUCCCCCAUUGUAACGGUGAAGAAACUGACGGGACAGAGAAGUUAAGUAACUUG